CUGCGUGGUGCAAUUGCAUCACCCAUGGUGCAAAAUAGAACAAAUACUGUUGAAAAGCCUUGUUUCCCUAUAAUUUCAGGUAUAUAGAUGUGACAAUCUUACACUAUAUUUCAAAAAAGAAUAUAUUUUGGUCUUUAACAAUGCAACAAUUGCCGGGACAUUAUGUCACAAUGCGGUGGGGAACAGGAUCCAAAAGCAACCAGAGAGCAGUGAUUUACAGGUGAACCGCAUGUUUUAUAAACUAUCCUUCCAGUUUAAUAUAAAUAGGCCCAGCUGGCCAACAGUGUGGUGUCCCGUGGUCUGACAACCGGGCAGCACUCAAUUUCAACUAUCGGAUCACAGUGGUCUUCGUGGAACGACAGCAGGCAGGCCCGGUCUGACAACCGGGCAGAAGGCAGUCUCGACUGUGUAGAUCCCGAUGUCCUUCACAGGAGGGCAGAGCGUGGUCUCCGUGUUAGGUUGAGGGGGAACUGCUACUAAGAUACAGGUACUACUGUGAUUCAGGCCAUGGCUGAUGGACAGAUUAAAACACAGGACUUCCUCUCUGUAACACGACAUUACUAACCUCUAGGGCUGUCGAUAGAUAGAAAAACGAAUUAAUCGCACAUAUUUAAAUGCAUUGAUCGCAAUUGUAGAUUAAAAGUUUUUUUUCUUCUAAAGACCAAAUCUUACAAGUAAUGAGCAAUCACUUUAGAAAGCGUGUAUUUUAGACACUGUUGUUUAAUUGCAUUUUAAACGCACCUACCGACAGUUCAUCAUCUCCGAGGCUGUAUUCCAUUGGGUGGAAAUUGUUCAACGAGUGACUCUUCCUGCUGUCCUUGUGCAGUUUUCUGUGCUCUUAACAUCAUAACGGCUGUGUUUGAAGUGCCAACAAUCUGCCCACAUUAAGCCAGGAUAUUUUCCAAACCACUCGGUUAGGUUAACAGUGGUGGUCCUCUGCAGACUGUGCUGCGCAGGGUUGACGUUGAGAUGGAAGUAGCCUAGCAGUGCGUAAAGUGGUUCCUUUGCCUCUGCACAGUUCUUCGCUGUAUGUCACAACUUUGUUUGUCUUACUUCAAAUGCAAAAAGCUCUCUAACUUCAACUACCGCCUCAUUCACUCCUGUCUAACUGACUGCCGAUAGAGACGUUUCAUUUCAGGGGUCAACAAGUGGCAUUAACUGCGUUAAAAUAUAUGUAUUGCAUUAAUCUCCUAGAUUAACACGUUAAUUUUAACAUCCCUAAUAAGUUAUGAUUCAGCAUUAUUAUUAUUCAUUUUGUUCAUGACAUCAAAGUUGAACACAUUACCGGUUGGAUUGUUUUGGUUAUGUCUCUCAUGGCGUCACAUUUUCAUGCCUGUGACAUCUAUAUAAAUCUACAUAUUUUACAUACAUUUUUUUAAAAAGAAAUGAUCAGCUGACGUGCAUUUUCUGUCUUAAAUACAAACUUGUGAAGAGAGCGCUCUUAUUCACCAUUGAUCACCAUUCAUUCAUUCUGAAUGUUUGUGUUUUUGAACCACAGAAAAGUUGGCUUAUGAAACUGUUGGUCAGGUUUAUACAUCAAAACCCUAUGUUUUCCUGGGGUUUCACUUGGGACACAAAAAUCUGUUUCCUUGGUGAAAGUCCUGUUUUGGUCUAUGUCUAUCAACAUACUAACUGCGCCACAAGGAGAAAAAAAAAUCAUCAAUGCAACACACCAAUCUUAAACAACUACCGAGGUAAUAGGUACUCGUGGCCAAUGAAAAGUGACUGAGGUCAAAGUAUGUAAUCGGACCAAGAUGCAUUGCCGCUAUGAUCACAGGUUCUCUCUCCACCUCCCAACACCUGUAAAUGUAGUUUUAUGCAGAAAAUCAGCAGCUUGCCCGAUCUUGUUCAUACUGUGUUCUGGAAUAAAUGUGUGUGUUUAUGUAUGUUUGACUACAAAAAGAGACCAUAGGCGGAAUAAAACAUUUGACUAAUAGCUACAUUAUAUAAUUAUACAUUUGAUUAUUCUUGGCUUCAAUAAACAUUCUUCCUAUAUUGGUGAUAAUUCUAAUCCCGGAGUAAAAAAUAGUCGAAAGUUUUAUUUCAUACAAUGAAUACAAAGGUUUUCUUAAAUUGUGGAGUCUUCCUAAAAUGAGUGUGCAUCCAAAAAGUUGAGCCCAAAAAUUAUUGUGGAGGCAUUGGGAGCACAGGAAGCUGGAGUUUUCAAAUUUAAUUUAUGAUAGUAAAAAUCUGUCGUUCAGAAAAAUGUACUCAAAUCAUUUAGAUUCAUGGAUGGCCAAAUGGGAUGUAGUGGUAAAUGUUUACACUGUGGGGGUGGUGACAGAAAAGUUGAAAGAUGCCUUUUCCUCUACCACACCUAGUGAUCUCUUAAAGUCAGCAUCUCAUUUCAAUCAUAAACCCCUCAAAGAGGGUCACACCAUUUGUAAGAGGUGUGAAGAGAUGUGUGUUAGAUUGUGCUUCUUAAAAUGAAUCGCAGCAGACAAAUUUAAUUCAGUAGAGUGGAAAACACUGAACCACACAACAUUCAGACAUAGUAUCCAGAACAACUGUGUACAGAAUACAGAGAAGGUACGGAGUUUUGGAUCAGGUGCCUAUUGUGC
ensembl:lncRNA